rnacentral:lncRNA from 1 species
CAGAGCUGUGGUGGGUAUGAGGUCAGCCUCCCUGCCGGCCCAGCCUGGUCUGGGGGCGCUGGCAGGCCUUGCCUGGGCUUCCCAAGGAGCCCCCCCGCAGUGCAGCCCAGCCAGCUUGGUUCCUUCUCAGACUUAUCUGGUGAACACAGUCACGUGAGCCUGGAGAAUUGGGGGCUCUGCAGAGGCCCCCCAGGGCCUUUUCCAGGCAAACCACAACAGUAAGGCAGAGAGGUGGUGUGAAUGCCUCCCUCCCGGAGUUGCCAUGAGGAUUUCAUGAAGCGAGUCAGAGGAAGCAGCUGGCUUUUUUCAUGGCAGCCACAGAAGAUUUCCCUCCAAGUGGUCACCGUCCUGGUCAUUUCCAAAGCAGCUGGUGCCAGAGAUGGUGGCAGACACAUGCAGGGACACCAGUGAGUCCAGGGGGCUGGGCUGGGACAGCCCUAGUUCUUCCCUCCUCCCGCCCCCUGUUCCCUUUCUUGGCCUUCUCCUUCUCUUCCCCCUUCUGCUCCC